GUUCAGGAAAAUAGUAGGGAUGGGAAGUCUGACACCGAGGCACCGAAGCUCGUAUCACUUCCGCGAAGCAAUCUGCUUCGGCACAAUGUAUCGGAGCGCGUAUCAAAGUUGUAAGGUCACGUGACUGAUGACGUACGAAGCUUCGGACGUCAC